GGGCGCGUAGUUCAAUGGGAGAACGCCUGCUUUGCAAGCAGGAGGCUGCCGGUUCGACUCCGGUCGCGUCCA
rnacentral:tRNA from 1 species